rnacentral:tRNA from 1 species
GCCCUUGUCGUUUAAUGGAUAAGACGCUAGCCUCCGAAGCUGGAAACCCAGGUUCGACUCCUGGCGAGGGCA